AAAAGAGGAGAAAGCUCUUGAGUAUUUGGUCAUUAGGAGGAGGAAAAUUGAAGGAAAUCCCCAACCAUAGUGGGCUUGGAGCUGUGAGGGAAUUCGGAGUGGCCACCCGUUCUGAAAGUUUGAUUUUCUUCUGGUGAACUGGACAUCCUUUUAAUUACGUUUGAGGUUUUGGGCUUUUAAAUGUAAUAAGGCCGCUUAUUUAUUUUUGAUGGUUUUUAUAUGUUUUAUUAAGAUAGAUAAUAUUUAUUUUAACUGUUGAAAUUGGAUAGCUUUAGGGCGCGUUUUCAAAAACAA